AGAGUUUGAUCAUGGCUCAGGAUGAACGCUGGCGGCGUGCUUAACACAUGCAAGUCGAACGAACCUUCGGGUUAGUGGCGGACGGGUGAGUAACGCGUGGGAAUCUGCCCUCAGGAGGGGGAUAACGGUUGGAAACGGCCGCUAAUACCCCAUAUGCCGAGAGGUGAAAUGAAUUUCGCCUGAGGAUGAGCCCGCGUCUGAUUAGCUAGUUGGUGAGGUAAGAGCUCACCAAGGCAUCGAUCAGUAGCUGGUCUGAGAGGAUGAUCAGCCACACUGGGACUGAGACACGGCCCAGACUCCUACGGGAGGCAGCAGUGGGGAAUUUUCCGCAAUGGGCGAAAGCCUGACGGAGCAACGCCGCGUGAGGGAUGAAGGCCUCUGGGCUGUAAACCUCUUUUAUCAAGGAAGAAGAUCUGACGGUACUUGAUGAAUAAGCCACGGCUAAUUCCGUGCCAGCAGCCGCGGUAAUACGGGAGUGGCAAGCGUUAUCCGGAAUUAUUGGGCGUAAAGCGUCCGCAGGCGGCCCUACAAGUCUGCUGUUAAAAAGUGGAGCUUAACUCCAUCAUGGCAGUGGAAACUGUUGGGCUCGAGUGUGGUAGGGGCAGAGGGAAUUCCCGGUGUAGCGGUGAAAUGCGUAGAUAUCGGGAAGAACACCAGUGGCGAAGGCGCUCUGCUGGGCCAUCACUGACGCUCAUGGACGAAAGCCAGGGGAGCGAAAGGGAUUAGAUACCCCUGUAGUCCUGGCCGUAAACGAUGAACACUAGGUGUCGGGGGAAUCGACCCCUCCGGUGUCGUAGCCAACGCGUUAAGUGUUCCGCCUGGGGAGUACGCACGCAAGUGUGAAACUCAAAGGAAUUGACGGGGGCCCGCACAAGCGGUGGAGUAUGUGGUUUAAUUCGAUGCAACGCGAAGAACCUUACCAGGGUUUGACAUCCUGCGAAUCUCUUGGAAACUUGAGAGUGCCUUCGGGAGCGCAGUGACAGGUGGUGCAUGGCUGUCGUCAGCUCGUGUCGUGAGAUGUUGGGUUAAGUCCCGCAACGAGCGCAACCCACGUCUUUAGUUGCCAGCAUUUAGUUGGGCACUCUAGAGAGACCGCCGGUGAUAAACCGGAGGAAGGUGUGGAUGACGUCAAGUCAUCAUGCCCCUUACAUCCUGGGCUACACACGUACUACAAUGCUACGGACAAAGGGCAGCAAGUUCGCGAGGACAAGCAAAUCCCAUAAACCGUAGCUCAGUUCAGAUCGUAGGCUGCAACUCGCCUACGUGAAGGAGGAAUCGCUAGUAAUCGCAGGUCAGCAUACUGCGGUGAAUACGUUCCCGGGCCUUGUACACACCGCCCGUCACACCAUGGAAGUUGGCCACGCCCGAAGCCGUUACUCCAACCCUUGUGGAGGAGGACGUCGAAGGUGGGGCUGAUGACUGGGGUGAAGUCGUAACAAGGUA
rnacentral:rRNA from 1 species